rnacentral:rRNA from 1 species
GACGAACGCUGGCGGCGUGCUUAACACAUGCAAGUCGAACGGAAAGGCCCUGCUUUCGUCUGGUUCUCGAGUGGCGAACGGGUGUGUAACACGUGAGUCACCUGCCCUUGACUUUGUGACAACUUCAGGAAACUGGGGCUAAUACCGGAUAGGAGCUCCUGCUGCAUGGUGGUGGUUGGAAAGUUUCGGCGGUUGGGGCUGGACGGUCGGCUUACGAGCUUGUUGGUGGGGUAGUUGCUUACCAAGGCUUCGACGGAUAGCCGGCCUGAGAGGGUGACCGGCGACAUUGGGACUAAGGUACGGCCCAGACUCCAACGGGAGGCAGCAGGGGGGAAUAUGGCACAAUGGGCGGAAGCCUGAGGAAGAAGCGCCGGGUGCGGGAUGACGGCCUUGGGGGUGUAAACCGCUUUAGGCUGUGACGAAGCGGGAGUGACGGUAAUGGGUAAAGAAGCACCGGCUAACUACGUG